rnacentral:misc_RNA from 1 species
GGAAAAAUCCAAAAUGAGAAUACAAAUUGGAAAGGGAAAAAUGAGAAAAUAGUGAUAAGUGGGUAAUGAUGCAAAAGUUAAACUAAAUGGGUUGACCAAAUUAAAACAUAGUGGGAAAGAAUACAAAUUUGAUUAAAAUUCAACCCCACAAAGAGAUGCAUGGAGUGGCGAGUAGAGAAACUUUAUGCCUAAUGGGUGACAAGAUAAAAUUAGCUUUUCUCAAAUAAUUUACAUCACCAUGAUGACCUAACCACGCGUAAUUAUCGUCUCUAAUUAAUUAAAUACCUUCAUAUCG